CAAAAGGAGCAACUUCCUCGCAGCUUUGCUGAAACUGCACAAAAAAGGCAACCGGGGGGGUGGGGGGGGGGCGUUAUUUUGAUUUGAUUUUUUGCCACCGCUUUCAAAAGCGAAGCCUCCUUCCCUCCCUUUCCCCCCCCCGCCCCCUCCCCGCCUCUCUCUCUCGCUACUGGAAGAUUACAGAUCCGUGCGCGAUUAUUUUUUGAUUCCUCGUUGUCUGCUGCGCUGGCACCGUCCUGCGAGCGGCGGAGCGGCUCGGCGCCGGGCUUCCCCUGCUGACAAUUACGGAUGAAAUCCAUAUGCUGAUGGCUACCCUGUAAUGAAGGCUCAUGUGAGUAGUCUGUUGAUCUAUACCUACACUUGCUUAUGAGGUGACUUUGCCUAGUCCAGUUGAAUGAUGAUAAACUAGCAGUUAAGGUUUAUGUAUUUCUAUUUUUAUAAUAUAUUUUAAUAUAUUUAUAGUUUUCCGUUCGGUCUCCCUUUCCAUUUAAGUUCUGACAAACUGAUGUAGAGAUAAUAGAUAAACCUCUUCUUGAUUUAGACAAUCACUUAUAUUUCAUAUUGCUCUUUGAGUACGGUACAUAAAGUACUGGCUAUAAGUGUUCCAUCUAGAAUGAAGAGCCUCAAACGUGGUGUGGACAAGAACUUGACCAAAAAAACGACUUGAUAAAUGAGGCCAGUUUUCACUUCCAUCGUUAUUACAACAAGGUUUUGCACAGAAUUUUUGCCACUGUUCAGUGUUACAGCCUUUCUGCAUGCCUGUCCCCUGCCCCGAAUGCCAGUGAGUGGAAUUGACAACAGCAAAUACACAUACAGCUGGCUUUUUUUAUUAUUUGUGUUUCCAGCAGUGUUUUUAGACUACUAGAUUAGGAAGACAGAACAUUGGGGUAGACAUUAUUUUCUAGCAGGAUAAUACACUUUGUGAUUUAGGUUGCCUCAGAAAGAUAAUUUCAAGCCUUCUUUAGAAGCAGCCACGCUAAGGCAAAAAUGCACAUGGAGUAAAGUACGGCUCAGCACAGCAGUUAGUCAGAAAGCUGAAGUCUCAGUCUGCCUUCCAUGCAAGCACAAAGCAUAACAAGUCUGAGCACUAAACAUUAUUCCUCCCUUUCCACCCUGUUACUUCUCCUGCGCUCAUUACACCGUCUUGCAUCUUUCCCCUCCUUCUGUAAAGGAAGGGAAAUUUCCUCCUCUCCGUCUGAUUUCUUUCCUUUCACAUUUGCUUUUCCCUAUUCACCUGCACAUUCCCUGUAAUAGCAAAACUUGAAGGACUACGGAUCCAAUCCUGGGGGGAAACACUAAGCUUGUGCAUGCAAUCUUUUAGCACGGACCAAAGAGCGAUUACUUAGUGUUUAUAUUUCCCCCUUUUUCUGAAUAAAGUUACAAAAUCACCAGAAUAAAGUUUAGUACUGAAAAUCUGUGUAGGGAACUGUAAUCUGACAAGGUAGAAUGAGAUCACCGUUCUGUGCAGAGCUCUGCUUGUACAGAAAAACAAAAUGAUUUUUACUGAUCUGGAACCACACGAUCAUUUCUGAAUCAUUAUUUUUAUGCUUAGCUGUUAUGUGAAGUGAAUCCACCUCUCUCCUUUGGUAGUCAUUUUAAAUGAUGCACUGAAUACUUCAGCAAAUGCAAUGACUCGUAUCUUUAAAUACUUUACGAGCAUACAGCAGGAUACUUAGAAAGACAUCUUAAAAAGCUAAGAAGUUAAGACCAGUAUAUCGUACACAAAUUAAGUUCUUUUUCCCCUGUAACAGCUCCCAAGCAACAUUUAUUACCUGUGUCCAUGACAUACAUUUUUAGAUGCCAGCUCUUCUAACCAGGCAAUCUAUUUCACAAGCUUUCUAAAGCAGUGUCGUAGCCAUUACAUCAAAUGUUGUUUCACAGAUGGUUAUCAACACUUGGUGUUUCACAGAUGGGAUAGAAGACCCAACACCUGAAUUAAAAAACCCCACCAACACAGUAACGUGCAUUUAAAGAUACCCCCUUAGAAAGUGGCUCUCAAUCUGCAGACUCUUGAGGUUUUAUGAACAAUUUUUAAGUGGGCUGCAAAAUAGUAAUUGAAAAAACGAGGCAUGCUGUCAGAAGGCUGACAGUAUCAGCAGUAGCUGCACUCACCCACUGGAUUUCUUUCUUUUUAAGAAGGUCCUGGAUCACAAAGAAUUGUGAAUUAGAAGAGAUUAGGCUCUAGAAAUCCCGAACUGUUGUGCUUCUUGGUAAGACAAACAUUAUCAAAAAACUGUAUUUCACCACAUAGAAAAAAAAACCUGUCACAUUCUAACGAAUAGGGGGGAAAAAGAAUGAAAGAACUCCUCUUUGACGAGCAGAUUUCUAAUGAUGGGAUACAUCCCACUUGGAGAAGAUGCAAACGAAGAGGCGAAGCAGAGGCAUUAUUUUGCUCCCAGCGCCCACUUCUCACCUGGCUGUACCUACAUUGCAGAAUCCCAUAGAAAGAACAGUAAGAAGAGAGGCUUCCAAUGGGAGGGGUUUGAGGGGCCUUCUGUACUUGUGUGUGUAUCCUUGUUUCUGGAGUAAGCAGGAAAGUAAGGUUUCCAGUUCACAAUCAGACAAGAAGCUGGGAUUCCAGAAGACACAGGAGAGAACAGACAGGGAAAGUGUGCAGUGAGGAUGUGGCAGAGCUAUAGCCACGUUUGGGGUACUGACUUCCAGCUGACCCCAAUGCAUUUAUCCAGCUGUGACCUCUCCAGCUCCUACAGGAAUCCUGUUCUGACCUCUGCCCCUAAAUCUUUACUCCCAUACACUGAUCUUCAGUUCUACCCAUAUACCCCAUCACUGCUUCUAUACCCACAUGCCUUCCUUAUAAGCAUAUUAAUCCCUCUCUCCUAUCACCCCCAGAUGACACUGGUAAAUAAGUUUUUUUCCACACUACAGUGCUAGAAAAGCACUCUCCUCCCUUGUACGUUUCUGAUACAAGGCAAAGAUUUCCUCCUGACCUCAUACCCAGCUUAGCCCUGUGCAUGUGAACAAGACAAACCAACCAUACGCACUGUACAUAUUAGAACACUGAAAAGUGACUGCAGAAUCCUAUCAGUUAGCAAGGGGCAUUUAGUAAUAAUAAUAUAAUAACAAUAAUAUAAAAGCAUUCACAAAACUCAUUUCCUAUAUGUAUCAAAAAAACAGGAAUAAGAGAGAUGCGACAAAAAAAGGGUUACACAGAGCAUGCUGGCCUACUUUAAUUCCCUUAGAACACCGUUACUGUAACUGCUGUUGCCAGUAGUAUUUUGCUUACCUUUCAUAUAAUACGUAUGCUACAAUCUAACUUUAGGUAAGACAAUAGACUUCUUCAGGAUAAACACAUUUAUACCAUUUGAAUGAAGGUUUAUAGUUUGGCAUUUCUCCACUUCAGCACCACCGUGAUUGCUAAAAAGCUGUGCAGUAUGUUGGAAAAGAUAUAAUGUCUGCAAAUUAUUUAUGGAUGUGCUUGUGUGGUAUUUAUGACAACAGAAAGUAACCUACGCUGGGGCAACUGAAAGCAUAGCUAAUACAAAUACAUUACGAUUCUGGAAAAUUGUCAGUAUGGAUGAUAUUAAUAAUAAUAAUAGGAGGCUUGAUAGGAGGAAAAGGAAGGUUUUUACAAUGUAAAAUUACCAUCCGGGGAGCUUAUGUAAACUAAAGAGCGUGGUCAAAUAGGAGUGGAUUUUUUUAGAGUAAUAAACUGAUCCUGUGCUAAGACAUGCUAAUACUCGUAAGAAAAGUCUGCAUCUGCUAAUGUUGCUAGAAAGUCAGAUAAGCAUUCAAAGAUGUACAUAUGUUUUCAUUUGAUUAAGAUGAGAAGUCUAAUCUUUGUGCUAUGGGGACCCAAUCCUCACUUCUCAGGCCACUAAAUCCACUAUUCAUGAGCGCAGAUGGAAAGGAAGAGGAGCAAAGACUAUUAGCGGUGCUCAGGACAAGGCAACAAUUAAAAAAGCAGCCGUUCUGUUACUAGAUCCUGGGAAGGACGUGGUGGGGACAGAAGGGUUGCUGCUACCAGCUUGAUCUUCCUGGCUCCCUCUGGGAAUCUCUUGCUGCUGCUUCAGGCUGGACGUUAGGAAAUACUACUUCUCUGAAAGGGUGGUCAGGCACUGGAAUGGGCUGCCCAGAGAGGUGGUGGAGUCACCGAGCCUGGUGGUGUUCAAAGAGCGUUUGGAUGUUGUGUUGAGGGACAUGGUUUAGCGGGAACCAUUGGUGAAGGGCGGAUGGUUGGACUGGAUGAUCCUGUGGGUCUUUUCCAACCUUGGCGAUUCUAUGAUUCUAUGCUUCUCCUGCAGAGGCAUGUGGCCUAUCUAAUGUUGAAAAAGCAGGCAGUGCUCUCUGCCUUUUCAUACACAGCAGAAGAGCAGAGCCCAAAUUUCUGGAGCAAUAGAUUGCUGUCAGCCCUUAACAUUUUUCACAAAACAGCACACUCCCACCUGAUUAAACUUUUAAUUGAAGGCACUAUUUAAAGCACCAUUAGAUAUGGUUUAGCCCAAAGGCUGUUCAACUUACCAUAGCCCUGUAACCCAUUAGGGCUUAGUGGACCACAGCUUGAAAACCAUUCCUGCCACGUCAGAAAUACGAUGAUGUUCCCUGCUCCCUCCCUCCCUCCUGACCUUCUGGUUGCUGUGUUAAACGUUACUGCUCCUCUAUCUGAUUUCCCUUGAGACUGAUUUUAGGACCUGCUAUUUGCUUCUGGCUUUCUGAAGUAGCAGCAAACUGGCAAUCUCCUUCGCCCAUACAUUUGUAAACAGGAGAAGUAAGGCCAAUAUGACCAUAACAUUACUACUGCCAGACAAAGGAAUAGACAGAAGCAUAGUUUAGAUAUCAAUAAAUAUAUGUAUAUCUUUCAGGUUUAGGAAAAAGGGACCAAUUUACAUUUGAUUCAUAUUUGAAAAUUUAUCAUCAGACAACAAGGCCUACGAGCUUUUAUUUACAGAAAAGCUGUAAUUCUACACAGGUUGGGUUUUGGCCACGGCUGGUCCAGGACAAACAGAUGUGCAGUUUUGUGCCACAGAACUAUGGCAGAUGAAACUGGUAUCUUCUGCUAUCAUAAAGGUCACCUAAGAUACAGAAAACAGUGACCAAGGGCUCCUUGUUAUUCUAUUCUAAGAAAUAAAGAGUUAGAGUCUCCUAUUAAAUGCUUCCACAUAUUCGUGGUUUUAGAGAUCUUUCUCAUGUUAUGACUCCUCAGCCAGCAUUUUUCCAAAAUGAAGAAUCCUGAUUCUGUUACUGUCCCUGCACAAUAGCUGUGCCAUAUCUUCAUCAUCCGUGUCUGUUUUUUAUAUAAUUCUCAUCAGUGCUCAAAACUGACUGGUAUGCCAGCAUGACUCCUUUGUUUCAAGUACCAUAUUGCAUCAAAUCCAUCCGGAAUGAUUUCAAGAAAUCAGCAAGAGCUGCUAAAAAUCCACACAAGCAUUAGGAAAAGGCUUGAGAACCCAGGCUUUUCACAGCAGCCAGACAGCAGCCAUCAGCUUAACAAUUAAACUUCACCUCUGUGACAGGCAGGAAUGCCAGGAUCAAAGUCUGUAUUUCAAGCUCACCUAAGGCUGUGAAACCCUAAGAAAUAGGGAAGUAGAACUUCCAAGUUGCAGCUCCUGUUAGAACAGCUGCAAGUCCAUGCCUUCCUGAGCAGCAGGCCUGGCUGCAGCCUGCAGAGCUGACAGAUGAUGAGGUAAUGACCCUCUCUGCUGACAGGUCUGGUUUAACAGUGGGUCAGUCAUACCUGGCCUCUGGGACAGCCGUGGCUCCUGCAGCACCACAGCCCGUGCUGUGAGAUCCUUCUGCAACUCUUCAGGGCCAACGUCAGCUCUGACUCCAAAUGCACAGUAGCCUUUUAUCGUCUCUAAGCAUUAUCACUGCACUUUUUCAUACCAUUUAGGAACAGGUGGACCAGAAAAGGUGCCAGUACAAAUUGCUGGGAGGUGGUGUCAUUAAAGCCACCUACUAGUUGCUAUAGUCUUCUUUAUCUUGUAACCGUUUAUUAAUCCACAAGGAAUCUUACGUAUCUCAACACUUCACUGUGUUAACAUUCUUUGGUGAUAGACCUUUUUAAAAGCUUUUUGGGUGACCCAUGCCCAUGUGUCUGUUUACUGCUUCAAACAAUAAGCGAAGCCGUAAGACAAAACUACCCUGUACAGAAAGUCAAGGUGAUGGUUGCCUAUUACAGCCACACGUGUUCCUAUUAAUUAUAUUCUUUAUCACAUUCACUGGCAUUUUGCCUGCCAUGGAAGUCAGACUUAUUAGUACAUUAGUCCACGAUCGUCCCUAGAGACCUUUUUAACAUGGUCACAUUUGCUGCUUUCCAUUCCUCUGUCAUCAACACCAAUUUAAAUGAUAGAUAAUACAACACAGUUCACAGAUAACCAGUUUUAUUUCUGAAUUUCUCUGCAACUACCGAAAGAACAUCGUGCUAUCUGGCAAUCUGCUAAUGCCCAUUUAAUCAAGUUGUUCAAAAAUCUUUUAUUGAUAUUUAAAAAUUGAAAUACUUCUUAUAAAGAACAACUUUUAUAUGGGACUGUACCUAAUCUCCCUGGAAUAAACUCUGCCAAUGCAAGGGUUUGUCCAUAUGUUUCUUUCUGUAGUGGCUUUGCCUUUAAAUAUUCUGUCUCUGGAACUCGGUGUCCUGCUAGCAGAAUUAACUGAAAAGUUUACACUUAUAGAUUUUUCUUUUUGCUUUUAUGAUUUUAGCCUAUUGCUCCUCAAAAUCUUUUUGUCCCUCCUUAGAAUAGGUCUACAUUUAACUUCCCAGAACUGUGCUCUUCUCCUCUUUGCUUGUUUGGAUUUCACUUUUUGAAAAACAUCUAUUUGUUCCUCGUAACUUCCCUUACUGCUCAGUUGUCAUGAAUUCUUAUUCACUUGGGUCAGAAUUAGAAAACAAACACUCUGUGUCUCUCUUAGCCUCUUACAAUUUUUACUUGAACGAUUUCUUCAUUUGUAUGCAGUUCUUUUUUACAGUUAAACAAUACUGGAUUGUUUAUUUAUUUUUAUCUUUUUCUCUCAUGCAAAUACGACAAACUUCAGUUUGAUGUGAUGUACCACUACCAAAUGUCUUUCCUAUAGUUACUCUGUCAACCAAAUCCUGGUUACUAAUCUAAACGAACUCAAGAGCUGUCCUCGUUCUACUGGAUUCUCUGGAUAGUUUGCUCAAAAGUUAGUUCUUGAUGGUAGUUAAAAACACAGCUUAUGCAUGAUGCCCUAAUGUUAAGCUUAUCCAGACCAUAGUUUGAAAACUGAAAACUCUUGUUACUAUCGAGCUUCUCAGUUGUAUAGCCUCUCUGGCCUCCUGCUGUAUUUCACGGUCACUGUGUCCACUCUGUCAGCUCAUUCAGAGCUCUUGCCAGGCUUCUCCUGCUCAGAUAUGGAACCACUUGUAAUUAUAUUUUAUGGUUUAGUCUGAUAAAUUUAACUUAUUUGACUAGUUAGCAUAUAGAGACCAACAGACCAAUCUAUCAUUUCUCUAUCAGCAAGGCACUAACAUUUCAUCAUCUCUGUUAUCAUCUAAACGCUGAUAUUUUGGUGUCACUUUGAAAGAAGGAAAAGGGGCACAUGCAGACCCACUUCCAGAAAGAGAGCAACAUACCUGAGGAAUUCCUGUUGCGAUUCACGCUUACCACUCUUCUGAAGAAUCAUUAUCUUCAAGGUACCAGGGAAACAGAGCAGUAUCAGGUAGCAAUGUACCUUGAUACCGAAUCAAAACUAGUGCAGGUUCCUUCUCAACAGAGAACCAAGUGGCAUUUGACAAGGACUGACCAACAGAAUGGCCUGUGGUUAUUCAAGAUUUCUGUACCAAGAGAUGCUGUGUCAGGAAGGGAAGGCACUAAGUAGCAGAAUGACACUAUGGAAGUAUAUGAAGUCCUUUAAUCUCUUGUAUACACUGAGGAUUCAUAAUACUCACAUUAACUUCCUCUGAGGAGGGAGAGUCUGCUGUUACUGCUGUGGAGAAGAUAAAGAGGGGUGCUUUCUGGACACAAUGCCAGUAGCUAUUGACUUGGGUUCGACAGCUGAGAAGACUUCUGGGGUGCUAGCAUUUUCUGUGUUGGCUGAAACUCACUUCUCUCCCUUUUGUGAGGCCCCUAUUUUUGUGAGCACCUUAUUUCUGCAUUAAGUAUGAUGCGAGUCAGGGCUCAGCAGAAUCCAGAGGCUACACUGCAGUAUCCAACAAGUGUUCAUUAUUAUUUAUUUGCAUUACCACAAAUCCUAGAAGGCUACACCCUGGACCACUUCUCGUUAUGCUGGGCCAUGAAUAAGCAUACAACAAAAAGUCCACAUGAAUUCUACGUGAAGAGACAACAGAGAUUACUGCAGAGUACAAAGGCAAUGACAAAGUAUUACUGUGACAAGCAUCGGUAUUAGUAUACUUGUACAACAUACUUAUUUUCUAGUUGGAUUGUCAUAAGCUUCACAGUACAUAAAACUUUCAAGAAGAUAUUAAAGGGAGACAGCAAACAGUUCUGUUUAAGAAGGAGUCAACUACUACACGAGAGGCAGCUGAGGAGAAAGUAUCCAGUGUGAAAAUAUAACAACUGAAUGAUGGAAGCUGGCAUCAUAUGUUGAUCAAAAUCAGAGUCAACCUCUUGAUACUGAAGGAAAGGUAUCAGGUAGAAGUAGUCUUGAUGGGCCUUGAAAACAAAGACAGAUAGCUUAUCUUUAUUGCUUUCAAUUGAAGGAGGAAGUUUAAAAAGCCAAAGGAGUAAAUCUGGAAACUGAUAUUUACAGCAGCACUUGGAACGCAUAAUGACAAGACUACAUUUGUCAAGGCAAAAGAAGAAGAUUUUCUAAUAACGAUAUGAUCCAUGGAAAACCUGGAUGAAAAAUACAAGCAACCAACAGAGAAGAAAGAGCAUCCCUGAAGGAUUGGAAAAAGAUUUCCAAAAACUAAGAUUUAGCCUAGGUUUGAUGACUUAAAGCAAACAACAGCAUGAUGGUGUCAUUCACCGAGGAUGCAGAGAGGUUUUGUGAGGACCCCAACCAAAAAUAUGAAAAAAUUGCUAACAAAAGUUGUAACUGGAAAUAAAGAACUGAGGACAACGCUGAAGAAAAUUUUCAUGCAUUAGAUCUGCUUAGGAGUAAAAAAGAAGAUGGGAGGAGGUAUAUGAAGUGACACAUAAAACACUGUUCUUCCUGUACUAUGAAAUAAGAAAAUUCUUUCACGCCACAUUUAUUACUGGGUUAUUACAGCUACCUGAGCUACCAUGUUUUGACUUUCAAGGACUGAAGAAGAAGAAUGUUCAUGAGAAUGUAAUUUGAUGGGUGCCUCAUUCAGCAAACAAAAACAUGCUACAUCCAGCUCAAAGACAGGACAUUGGUGAUACAAGCCAAGCGCAAACAGCAGUGGAGAAAAAGAUCUUACAGCUUAAAGUUAAAACAACUAACAUGCUGAACAUUCAGGCACAUUCCUUUCCUCUUCCUCCUUAUUGUACAGAACCAAGGCUAUCAUUUCAGCUUGCCACUGAAGGAAAAUUACUCUCCUUUGCUCUAGUUUGGUAUUUCCAGCCCUUGAAGUAUUCCCAAACCUACAUAAAGUGUGCCCAUGUAGCAAAUGCCCACACCCUAAAUUCCACAAACAUCAACAAGAUCUCUUCGUGUCUGCUUUCUUGCUGUUUCCUAGUUUUAGUCAUUUACAACAGCACAGAAUGGGUUGAACUAAAGGAACAAGCAGAUCAGGUGCUCAACCACACGGGUUAGCAGCCGUGAGUACUGGAGACAUACAGCAGGAGACAAUUCAGAGUUCCUUUUCUUCCAAACAGUGUUUUGUAGCAGCAUUACCUCAGGCAGAAUAGAGCUGUGCCCCUACAUUCUUUCUCUCAAAGCACAGGGAAGUUGCUCUCUCAGGAAGGAGAUGCAGUCAGAUGUGUAUGAGCUGCCCUCCGUAGAGAUGACUGAAAAACUUGGAGACAUAUGAAACAUCCAGGGGCCUCCUCAUACCCCACUAAUAUAUCACCUUGCUUCUUUAUCUCUUCUGAAACCAGAUCUUUUCUGAGGCACUUUUUUUUUUCAAUCUGGUGUGGAGAGGGAACAUAGGAGGCUGGGUUUGGUUGCUGUGCAAUCACCUGAUCUCUCUCUCCUUUUCUUUCCUUUGCACAACUUAGGGGAAGUAAGAAUAAAUAUGGCAUAUAGAACUAAAAGAUGAAAACAGUCAACUAUUAGAACUGUGCUUUUUAAACAAACAAACAAAAAAAAUAUCAUUCAAGAUUUUAGAUGCAAAGUGAAAUAUUCAGUGUUCUCAUUAUUCAGGAGAAACAUUCAAUGUUCUCAAACUAUGGUUUCAUCUCAUAUUAAAAAAUAACUCCAUUUCAUUUUUGUGUUCAGAAAUUAUAAAAGAAGCACCGUAACAUCCCGUAACCAAAAUAAUCCCAUUGGGUUUUGAGCUCUCUUUGAGAUGUUCAAAUUUAAAAUAGUUAAGUUAUGAGUUUGAACAAGAAACUCUUUCUUCUGCUUAGCACUAGCCACAUUUUAGCAUAUGUAGACCAUCGACCUCUGUUCUUAGUUGCAGUUGUCAUCUCAAAUACUCUGUUUAUACAGGUAAUUCACAGUCACUAACUCUCCAAAGCCCACACGACCCCUCCAAAAAAACUGCAGAGAACUGUAGAGAAAGACAUUUCCUGGAAGUUUUAAAUUAAAUAGAUAGGUAAAUCAACCAGAUAUUUGAUGAAAUGAAAGGUACCAGUAGCUACACAUUCAGUUCUCCUUCUGGGCAUAUUUUUGCCAUAUAUUCUUCUGUUUAGUUCCUUGUUUCUUUUUGAGUUUUAUUUUGUUUGUUUGUUCAUUUGUUUGUUAAUUGGACUCUCAAGUCUGCUUUUGAUCUGGUUAUGAUCUCUUCUUUGGUCUUGCUCUUUCUUCAAAUUCAUUUAAUGUUACUUUUGUGCCAAGCAAAAAAAUAAUUCUACAAUCUCUUUUUCUUUACUCCCCAAUCACUGUCUGCAUCUUUGCUCUACAUGAAGGAAUAUCUAAUUGGCCAUGCCUACAAAUCCUCUACAGCUUCACACUUCCUUAAUAAUUACUCACAGAUUCAAUACCAAUUCUAGUUCUUCCAUCUUCCAGAUACAAGAUUGCCUUCAGAACAUUUUUGUACUUGAACACCAGAAAGGAAAUACACCAUCAUAAAAAAAAGGGCAUGGAGUUUAUAAAGCCAUUAGCGUUACACAGGUAAAACACCUACACAUAAUUUUUGCUCUCUUGGAUAUAAAAAUAGGAAUCAUAGCAAUGCCUGUACCCAUAGAUACAAGCAAAAAACUUCCUCUUCAAUACAAGUAUAUUUAUAGUUAUUUUGGGUGAAUCCACUGACAAAGGGUAUGGAUAAUUAUUACCGAUUAAGCACAGGGUACUUAGUUAAAAUAAAAUAUACAGUUCUUGCCUAAGAAGCCUAUAAUUAAUCAGCAUGUGUGAUCAAAUUGCCACUCAUAACGUCAGAUCAGUUUAGUUUAAUUUAACCAAGUUACUUUGACAUGAGCAUAAGUAUAUAUUUAUUAACAUUUCAACGUUCAACUCAGCAAGACAAUUAUGUUAGUAAAUCUGCUUGCAGUAGCUACACAAAUAUUGGAGGCAUAAACGGUUUUUAUAGAUCUAUAAAUUUGGAAAAUUUUAUGGGUGAAGAUAGAGAGCAGCUCAGAAACACACUCUUCUGAAAGCAAAGGAAAUAAACAAAUGAAAACUCCCUACCUAACAGCAGUGCUGAAGGACUCCGGGUUCACGUGGUGAAUUAUCCAAGAAUAAUGAUAUCCUUAAUGGAUAUAUUGUAUGGAUUUUCUAAAAAGAACCGGAGUCACACAUAAAUCACACCUCUUGAUUAACCCUUUUAUCAUUAUUAGUCUGUCAACAUCAGCAAAGACUAACUAUUGAAAAAUUCAAUCAUUUCAGUGUACUUACAGCUGAAUUUUCUCAUCAUGUGACCAACUAUCCACAAAGCCUCAGUGCCAUUAAGAAGUUUUGAGGAAUAUAUUAUUUGGUACUGCCAAAAAAACAUAAUUAAAAGAACGCAUGUAAAUUAUAUUUAUUUUCUAAUUCAAAACUUUUUUUUUAAUGAUUAUUUCACGUCUAAAGUACAUUUGGGGGAAAGGCAGAACUUACAUUAUCCCAAAAGGCAGGUUCCAGCACAACCCAUGAUACACUGACAGAAUUCACAGUAAGAAGGCACAGUAGGGUCACACAAACAGAACCCCGCACUACUGCAGAAUCUCCUUAAUUUCAAUAGGGCCCUACCCACAUAUAAUCAGUUACAGAGUCCGCCUAUGUGGGAGUAACAACAGUGAGCACGGGACCCGUUCCUCCACACACCUGCAAAAAUAUUGGGAUAAAAAAAAAGAAAUUAAAAUUAGUAACAUGCAGCAAAACCCUCUGAUAGCCCAUUUUAUUACAGCGUUUAGCACAUAAUAAAGGAGUUCCAUACAUCUUUAAGUUGCACGUUAUUUAUAGGAAUUCUUAGUUCCUUUUUUUACAGAAUGUUGACUUCAAAUUGCUUACAGGCCUUACAUGUAACAGCAGCACGUUAUGGGAACUUUUACCAAUAUGCAUUUGAAGUAGAAAUUUAGAUGUAUUUUUAAUUAUUACUUUAUAAAAAGCCAUUAUCAUAGUUGCUUCUUAGUGUUUAAGUCUGCUUCAAAUCAGCAUAAAGUUUGGAGAGACAGCAUAGGUCAGUGAAUUUCUGAGGUCUUUAUGAUCACGAUCCCCGAGCACAGGAGGGACAUGGAGCUCUUGGAGCAGGUCCAGAGGAGGGCCACUAAGAUGAUCAGAGGGCUGGAGCACCUCUCCUAUGAGAAAAGGUUGAGGGAACUGGGAUUGUUUAGCUUGGAGAAGGCUCCGGGGAGACCUCACUGUGGCCUUCCAAUACCUGAUGGGAGCAUAUAAACAGGAGGAGGAAUGGCUGUUUACAAGGGUGGAUAGUUCUAGGACAAGGGGGAAUGGUUUUAAACUGAGACAGGGGAGGUUUAGGUUAGAUAUUAGGAGAAAGUUUUUCGCACAGAGGGUGGUGACGCACUGGAACAGGCUGCCCAAGGAGGUUGUGGAUGCCCCAUCCCUGGAGGCAUUCAAGGCCAGGCUGGAUGUGGCUCGGGGCAGCCUGGUCUGGUGGUUGGUGACCCUGCACAUAGCAGGGGGGUUGAAACUAGAUGACCAUUGUGGUCCUUUUCAACCCAGGCCAUUCUGUGAUUCUAUGAAAGCAUCUGGCCACAUACAGCAGCAUCGAAGACUAAAGUAUUUGAAAACACAUGAUAAACAGUAGUCAAUUUUAGACUAAAAGUGAUCUUUUUUAAACAAAAAAUCCUUACAAAAAUCAACUGCAAUCAUUUCCUAAAUUUAAGCUCCUCCAGAAAACUAUUUAGAAUGCAGGAAGUACAAAUGUAAUGUUAAACAAAUAUAUACCACCUCUUUGCCAUUCACACAAAACUUAACAUUUAUGAUUUGACCUCACUGUUCUUAUUAAAAAUACAUCUAUGUUGAUCUUUAAAAGGCAUUUUAUUUUCAGUUACAACGCUUUUCUAUAUCAUAAAACAUUUACAAACACAUUAACCAUGGGUUCCAUGAAAUAAUAUUUAACUGGUGACACUGUGCAAGAGCACUGAUGAUAAAGGAUAUAAGAACUAGAUCCUAGAAACAUGCAGAAGACAUUUCUUUAUUCCUUUAAUUUAGAUACCAUUAAAGAAACAACAAUAUUUAAAACAAACAAGCAAAAGCUACGAACAAAUUAAAGGAUCUGACAAUCUAACAGAAGAAUCAGGAGUUCCAUAAGGAUGGAAUGCAGUCUUUUUUAAUUCUCUACUUUUGGUUUUAUUUUUGAGCAACAAGUUGUUCUCUUACUGGCUGUGAUUUUGUCAAACAACAGACUUGUAAACAAACAGAAAAUGGAGAAGAGCACCACAGUUUUUUGUUCCUUGCCAGGCUUAAAGCUUUCAACUGGGCAGGAGGACAAGCAAAAAUUUGAAAUCCACAUUUCAGACAUUACAACAAAUUUCAAGGCAGUUGUCUUAGAAGUUACUGAAUUUGAAGUGUUUCUUCGCCUUUUAUUCCCUUUAAAACUUUUGGUUUAUAUACAUGACUUAUAAUGACAAAUUCAACUCCUCUUUCUCAAGAUCGGUGCUCCAGCUGUAAGUUCUGUUCAAAAAGUGUCUUAAGAUAUAGAAUUAUUGAAUCAUAGAAUGGUUUGUGUUGGAAGGGACCUUUAAGGUCACCUAGUUCCAACCCCUUGCUCUAGGCAGGGACACCUCCCUCUAGACCAGGUUGCUCAAAGCCCCAUCCAGUCUGGCCUUGAAUGCUUCUCCCAUCUACUGUUACACAGAAAAUUUAAAAAUAUCAGACCUACCAGUCACAUUAGCCUGCAAGUGUGAACCAGCACCUGAGCCUACCUGAGUGAACCAGUACCUCUGGCAAGUAUAAUGUACCCAUUUCUUACUGACUGAGAAUGAGCAGACUAUACUUUUUGGGACAGUCAGUUCUCUAGGAGCCCAAGACCAUAAAGCUAGGGAAAUAUGGCAUUAUCAAAGAUGCAAUGCAACGUGGUAACUUAUGCAGCCAGAUCCUAAUACUGCUUUCUGCCCCUCUGCCUAGCUCCACAUCUUUCUCCAAUAAGGAAGUUAACUGGAAUACAAUGCACUGCUCCGAGAGUGCAGACUGGAGGAGAGGUCAGGGACACAUAGCUGCAGUCCAAAUGACAGUCAGUUUCUGAGAAGAGCGGAAAACACACUGUUACAAAUGUGACAGCCUAUGGAAUAUCUCAGAGCUGACAUUCAAGCCAUCAAAGAAAUGAAAUAGCGAAACUGCCUCAACAAUUCCCUUCUCUGACAAGGAUAGGAAAAACAUGCAUCUAACGUAGGUAUAGACCACCAUAAAGUUGAAGGGUACAUGAUUGGUUUGGGAGACUGGAAGGCUCUUGCAAAAACAAGGGUUUUUUUCAUGACCAGCAAAGUUACAAAGUCUAGUUAUUUACUAAUGUGCUUGCACAUGCCCCAAAAUACUUGUGCAGCAAUCCCAGGCUGACGUUACCCUGGCUGGAUUCCCACUCCCUUCUAAAUAAUUUCCCUAAAUUCCUUCACAAAACACCACCUUCUCACUACUGGGAGCAACUCACAUUGUGACCAUCAGACCAACCAAGGAUGCUAAUCUGCAAGGCAGCAGGUUGAAUGGAAUAGAAAACUUCCAAGUCCAUGCUGAAGCUUUUUCUGUCCUGGAGGCACAAAUUCGAGUCAUUUUUCUAAUCUCAUCUGCCAGGUUUCAUUGAAACUGUAGAAACUUGACCUUGCGACCUCUAUCUCUGUAUCAAAUGCAGCUCAAAUGAAGCAGUGGAUUCAGAAGUUACUAGGAGAAAACUCAUUCCUAUAUAUCUUGUUUUAUUCAGAAAGUGGGCAUGAAAACACAGUUGUAUAAUCACUGUGAAAGUAACUGAAUUUCAUGUCAUUUACUGUUUUCAUUCAGGAGUCACACCACAAACUCAGCUAUAACACAACACAGGUUUUUACAGGGUGAGAGCGUAAAAGAAUCCAGAGAAUAGAGACCAUUUCCAUGAAACUGCCUUUGUUCUGUCCCUGUGCAAAGGACCUUAAAUAGAUGUCAAUUCAUAAAGGUGAAAAUUUAACAGAGAUAAAAUUUUAUACACGUGUUUUGAACUUACCAAGAAUGCAGCGAACUGCCCUUCAGGUAGAUCCAUGCUUCUCUUCCAAUUCCGUGUUGUAUCUCCCAAAGCAUUUGACGAGUCCUCUUCAGUGUAAGGCCAAAGUUCGUGGGUGCUGUGGAGAAGAUCACUUGGCAACUGCUCUGCUUGACAGCCGGCGGCGCUCCCUGUCCCUCCGUCCCCUCGCUCCGUCCCUCAGCACCGCGCCCGCCGGGUGACAUUUCC
rnacentral:lncRNA from 1 species